rnacentral:pre_miRNA from 1 species
AAAGUACUCCCUCUGUCCCAAAAUUCUUGUCUUAGAUUUGUCUAGAUACGGAUGUAUCAAGUCACAUUUUAGUAUUAGAUACAUCCGUAUCUAGACAAAUUUAAGACAAGAAAUUUGGGACAGAGGGAGUAGUUG